UACGUAGGGUGCAAGCGUUAAUCGGAAUUACUGGGCGUAAAGCGUGCGCAGGCGGUUAUGUAAGACAGAUGUGAAAUGCCCGGGCUUAACCUGGGAACUGCAUUUGUGACUGCAUGGCUAGAGUGUGUCAGAGGGGGGUAGAAUUCCACGUGUAGCAGUGAAAUGCGUAGAUAUGUGGAGGAACACCGAUGGCGAAGGCAGCCCCCUGGGUUAACACUGACGCUCAGGCACGAAAGCGUGGGGAGCAAACAGG
rnacentral:rRNA from 1 species